UGAAGAGUCUUUUGUAAUGUACUAAAAUUGGAACGAUACAGAGAAGAUUAGCAUGGCCUCUGCGCAAAGAUGACACGCAAAAUCGUGAAGCGUUCCAUAUUUUU
rnacentral:snRNA from 1 species